AGACAACUUUUGGCGGUGGAUCUCUUGGCUCACGCAUCGAUGAAGAACGCAGCCAGCUGCGAUAAGUAGUGUGAAUUGCAGAAUUCAGUGAAUCAUCGAAUCUUUGAACGCAAAUGGCGCUCUUGGGUUCUCCCAGGAGCAUGUCUGUCUGAGUGUCG
rnacentral:rRNA from 1 species